UACGUAGGUGGCAAGCGUUGUCCGGAUUUAUUGGGUUUAAAGGGUGCGUAGGCGGUCCAAUAAGUCAGUUGUGAAAUACGGCAGCUUAACUGUCGAGGUGCAAUUGAUACUGCAGGACUUGAGUACAGACGAGGUAGGCGGAAUUGACGGUGUAGCGGUGAAAUGCUUAGAUAUCGUCAAGAACACCGAUAGCGAAGGCAGCUUACUAGACUGUAACUGACGCUGAUGCACGAAAGUGUGGGGAUCAAACAGG
rnacentral:rRNA from 1 species